GCAGCCCAUAGGUGUAGCCCAAGCCUCUUUCAGUCUGCCAAAUGCCCCCGAAGUACGGAGAGGGGGAGAGAAAGAUCGAGAAAACCACGUACGGAGGAGGCGGAGAGCCGCGACGCGAAUCCGCGAUGACAUCCCCGGCGACCCUCGCGCCGCCGCUGGACAACGAGGAUCUCCUCUCCUUAAUCCUCAUCCGCCUCCCACCGCUACCAUCGUCCUUCUCCAGCGCCUCCCUCGUCUGUAAGCGCUGGCACCGCCUCGUCCGCGGCCCGGAUUUCCUCCACCGCUUGCGCGCAUUUCAUCGAACACCUCCGGUGCUCGGCUUCUUCCACAACUCCCCGGACUCCCCCCGCUUCGUCGCAAUUCAGGGGAUGUCCGGCAUCCGCAUCGCCGCUGCGGUGCGGGAUCUACGCAGGGACGGCGCCGGCGGCAUGUGGUGGUUCGUCGACUGCCGCCAUGGUCGCGCCCUUCUCCGCAGCCGCGAUUGGGUCGAUCUGCUUGUUUGGGAUCCCAUUACCGACCACCGCAGCUUAAUCAUCGUCCCCGACCAGGUGCGGGCAGGCGCGUCCGACUGCAAUGCAGCGGUCCUCUGCCCGGGCGCCACUGGCUGCGGCUGCAGCCCCUUCAGUGUGGUUGUUGUAUCCACCAGAGGACACUGCGCCUUCGCCUGCGUGUACUCGUCGCUAACCCGAGCGUGGGGCGAGCUGUUCUCCAUUCCAACGCCAUCACUGGAAUGUGAGCUCACGGAGGAACCUGGCACCCUUGUUGGGGAUGCAAUGCAUUGGCUACUUGGUGAGAGCAGCAUACUUGAGUUUCGAUUGGACGACCAAAGAUUAGCUCUUGUUGAGCGCCCAUUGGAGACGUUUUCUGUCUACAAGCGGAACAUCCGUGUGCUGAGGUCCGAGGGUGGCGUUCUUGGCCUCGCUGCUGUGAAGAAUUUUAGUCUGCAUCUAUGGGCACGGGAGGCUGACCAUUGUGGCACUGCAAAGUGGGUGCUGCGCAGAGCAAUUGAACUCUGCACACUCCUUGAACUGCCAUUGAUGCAGCCUCGUGUGGGCUCCAUUCCUGUCUGGAUAAGUGGGCUUGGUGAGGAUGGCAAUGUAGUGUUUCUACGAACCACGGUCGGCAUGUACGUGCUUUGGACCAAGACUAUGCAGUUCAAGAUGGUCACUAACAAUGUACUCAUGAAGACAGUUUAUCCCUAUGCUAAAUUUUACUUUCUAGAAGGUAGCUUUAACGGGUUGCUCAAGCCAUCUAUUUUCUAUCAACAUGAACCUGUGGGAUGAGAAUAGGCCAUGUAUCUAACUGCAUGUACAAUCAUUCGAAGCCAAAAAUUAAUUUGCAUCAAAGUUCAUGGCCUUUGAUCUGGACGGUGUUUCCUGGGAUUAAGUAUUGAAGAAAUUUGAUAACUGCAGUAACGGUAUUAAACUUCUGCCUUAUGAUGCUACCAUUACAUUAUUACUGCCUCCUUUUCUACAUCACCAAUUCUAACUUGACACAUUUGUAUUUUGUUUGAAUGCAAGUCAUUUCUGCAAGUACAUGGCAUCUUGAACCUUAACAAUCAGCAGGACUUUUGACAUAGAACAUUCUCUGGAUAUUACCCUAUGAAGUAAAGGGUUCAGAAACAUGUGUAUUGUGUAGCUGAUAGUUAUCUGUAUGGCUUGUCUUUACCUAUUAUUGUUAUUGGACAUCUCCAAUUCCACCAUGGGCCAAGGUUAUUUUUCUUUUGUUCUAGAAUGUGAGCUUUCACCGAUCAUUUGGUUGGUGUAGGUGAUGGCAUCAGGUUCAUCAGAGUAUAGCAAUGCAGACCAGGAAACAAGAUAAAAAAUGUUACCUGGUGUUUGAUGCAGAAAGCACUACUUUCUGUGCUCAGCAAGCAUUAGCUCCUAUGCUUUUGUCAGAUGUUUAAAUGCUUGAUUCACUUUCUUUUAGAUAAAUAUAAAGCAAUCAACUAUC